UAUCUUCGAGGUGGACUUUGCAUGCUUU
rnacentral:piRNA from 1 species